GGACGAACGCUGGCGGCGCGCCUAACACAUGCAAGUCGAACGAGAGAUGAAGAGCUUGCUCUUCAAAUCGAGUGGCGAACGGGUGAGUAACGCGUGAGGAACCUGCCUCAAAGAGGGGGACAACAGUUGGAAACGACUGCUAAUACCGCAUAAGCCCACGGCUCGGCAUCGAGCAGAGGGAAAAGGAGCAAUCCGCUUUGAGAUGGCCUCGCGUCCGAUUAGCUAGUUGGUGAGGUAACGGCCCACCAAGGCGACGAUCGGUAGCCGGACUGAGAGGUUGAACGGCCACAUUGGGACUGAGAUACGGCCCAGACUCCUACGGGAGGCAGCAGUGGGGAAUAUUGGGCAAUGGGCGCAAGCCUGACCCAGCAACGCCGCGUGAAGGAAGAAGGCUUUCGGGUUGUAAACUUCUUUUGUCAGGGACGAGUAGAAGACGGUACCUGACGAAUAAGCCACGGCUAACUACGUG
rnacentral:rRNA from 1 species